GUAUUUAUUUAGCAUGUAAGGGCCCAGAUCAUGGUCCCUGCUUGUAAGGAUCUUGGCAUCUUAUUAGGAAAAACAUACAUAUAAAAUCAGUAUGAGAACAUGUCAGGUGCUCUGAAUAUCAGUACAUGUUUUUGUUUGUUUUAAAAAAUAUCAUGCUAAUUACCACUUACUACAAUUAGUUUUACUGGAAAUAUUUUGUUUGAUUGAACAUGAGGUCCGUGGACUCAAACAUGUUAGUGAUCAUUAUUGACAGUGAAAUCACUGUUCUAGUUAAUGUGAGUUAAGAGAAUGACCUCCGAUUUAUUAUUAAUAUUAAAAACAUCACCUGUUUCCCACAGAAAAUAGCCAAAGAAUUAAAAUAUAAGGAUGGAAAUCUUGUGGCAAUAUUGUGGUAGCUCUUUGCAUCCAAUCUACUCCUCAUAGGGAAAGAGAGAAGACAUUAUUUCUAAACACUUAUAUGGUGGAUAUUAUUAAAAAUUUCCUUGGAAUUUGAAUGCCUAUUUGACUUUCAGGCAAAUUUUACAUUCAAUGUUUAGAAAUUGAAACAUUUAUGUUAUUACAUUAUUUAAUUAUGGUGUAUUACUUGCCUGACUGAAGAAUAAAAGAAUAUUCUUGCUCAACUGAAAACCAAUGUACCCAACUUAUAAUUUUUCUAAUUUGAAAUAAUUAUACUACACAAAGUGCAAAGCCAUUUAUUAUAUUUGAUUCAUCACAUCAAUUUUCCUUUAAAUCAUUUAGAUAUUAUAUGCCUUGCAAGAAUCAUUUAUGCAGUAUGUGACAAAUUCCAAGAACAGAAGUAAUAAUGCAUGCACUUUACGUCUGAGAAAAUAUGCCAAACCAUUUAAACAGAGGGAAUUCCUACAUUUGUUUACAUGGAAAAAUAAAAGAUGAAAGGAAAAAAUCGGAGAAGGGAGAUAUAUGAAUCCACUAGGAAUAUAGCAGAUGGAGAAUUUGACUGGACACAGUUGCAGCUCAGAAGCAAAUUACUGAGGUGGAGAAUUACAAAGCUCUUCUUAUCUCAGGAAAUACACAUUGUCUAAUUCUGAAGAGAACAUGUGAAACUCAACAACUGAAACGUUUCUCUGAGUUUUGUGGGCAGAACAGUGUCCUUGGAUGGUUGAAAAUGCUGUGAGAAAUUAAGGCCAAAGAAUAGUUCUUGAGAUUGAGUCCUAUCGUAUAUCUUAUCCAUUGCUUACUCUCACAGAGCUGAACACAAGAACCAGAAGUAUUUAUUCCUGUUCACCAAGGUGGAAAUCACAAGCAAUGACAGCUCAGACUCUGUCAGGUAUUCUCAACUGCAAAAAUGAGCUCUCAGUCAGUAACCACCAAAUCAAUGAGGUGUGUGCCAGGACCAUCAGAGGCAACAAAAUGUUAGGCCCAAGAAAAAAUGGAUAUUGAAAAUAAAUUCAAUAGAUUUGUUCA
rnacentral:lncRNA from 1 species